UGAGCCACAAUCCCAGCCCUUUUUUUAAAUUUUAUUUUGAGACAGGAUCUUGCUAAGUUGCCCAGGGUGGCCUUGAACUUGUGAACCUCCUGCCUUGGCCUCCCAAGUCUCUGAGAUCAUACCACCCAGCAAUAUAUUAUUCUUUUCUCUCAUUCUAAUUAACAUUUUCACUAAGUGAAUCUUUCCCUGUGAUUGCACAGUGCCCUACCUUGCUCUAGGCACUGAGAAACAGACGUGGAGAAAGGAGCCAAAAAUCCUCAUAACUUGGGCCACAAAAGAGGCAAUCGUGGACUGCAAUGUGUUGCAUAGAGACUCCUGUAUGAGACGAGAACGUGGGGCCACUCUGAGGAGGUGACCACAGGACUGUGAGCUCAGUGAGAAGGCCGGCCCAGUGUGGGGCUGAAAUGUAUCACGGAUGUCGACGCGGAGCUCAGAUCCCACGGUCAGGCUCCUGAACAGUGAAGGUGUGGCUCUGGCCAUUCCUUGUGGAGAGGAGAGGCCCAGGUGUGGGUGCCUGUCCUGAGCGGUGCUGCUCCUWCAGAAAGUGUGAGACCCCAGCAUGUCUGGAAAGGCUGAGCGGCUGGGGUUCCUUGUGUCUCUGGUCCUGGCAGGAAAGCCCAGCACAGACUCGCCACCCGUCCAAGAGAGCGUAUAAGACACAAAGCCUGUUGGAGGACCAGGAGCAUCUCCCAACUGAAGCUGUCCUUGUGUCCAAGAUAGUCAGGGGUGGAAACAGCCGGAACAGAAGAUGCACGCACGUAUUUGCUCUUGGAAGUGAAGCAAGGUGGGGAGGGGGCGUCUUCACCCUCACAGUUUUGUACCUUUCAGAUUUUUAGCUCUAUGACUGAGUGACAUCGUGAUAAAUAAAAAUGCAGAAACUUCUAAGAAAAUGUUAGCU
rnacentral:lncRNA from 1 species